AUUCUAUCAGUUAAUAAUACAUGGUUGUCAUUGAUUACCUAUAUGCAGCAUCUGCAACAGCAAAGGGAUGUGGACUUAGCUCACCAAACACUGCUCCUUUAUAUUGUGCCAUCAUAUGACUAUCAUAUAAAUGAGGAAGCUUUACAAAAGG